rnacentral:rRNA from 1 species
GACGAACGCUGGCGGCGUGCCUAAUACAUGCCAGUAGAACGCACAGUUUAUACCGUAGCUUGCUACACCAUAGACUGUGAAUUGCGAACGGGUGAGUAACGCGUAGGUAACCUGCCUGGUAGCGGGGGAUAACUAUUGGAAACGAUAGCUAAUACCGCAUAAUAUUAAUUAUUGCAUGAUAAUUAAUUGAAAGGUGCAAUUGCACCACUACCAGAUGGACCUGCGUUGUAUUAGCUAGUAGGUGAGGUAACGGCCUACCUAGGCGACGAUACAUAGCCGACCUGGGGGGGUGGUCGGCCACACUGGGACCUGGACACGGCCCAGACUCCUUCGGGAGGCAGCAGUAGGGAAUCUUCGGCAAUGGACGAAAGUCUGACCGAGCAACGCCGCGUGAGUGAAGAAGGUUUUCGGAUCGUAAAGCUCUGUUGUAAGAGAAGAACGGGUGUGAGAGUGGAAAGUUCACACUGUGACGGUAUCUUACCAGAAAGGGACGGCUAACUACGUG